rnacentral:rRNA from 1 species
GUAGGGUGCGAGCGUUGUCCGGAAUUAUUGGGCGUAAAGAGCUCGUAGGCGGUCUGUCGCGUCGAUCGUGAAAACUUGGGGCUUAACCCUGAGCUUGCGGUCGAUACGGGCAUGACUGGAGUUCGGCAGGGGAGACUGGAAUUCCUGGUGUAGCGGUGAAAUGCGCAGAUAUCAGGAGGAACACCGGUGGCGAAGGCGGGUCUCUGGGCCGAUACUGACGCUGAGGAGCGAAAGCGUGGGGAGCGAACAGGAUUAGAUACCCUGGUAGUCCACGCCGUAAACGGUGGGCGCUAGGUGUGGGGGCCAUUCCACGGUCUCUGUGCCGUAGCUAACGCAUUAAGCGCCCCGCCUGGGGAGUACGGCCGCAAGGCUA